CCAAGUUUCAACCGUUUCUUACGGUGAAGAAAAACCUUCUGUAUUAGGACAUACAGAAGCUGAUUAUGCGAAAAAUCGCCGUGCAGUAUUAGAGUACUAAUUUAUAUAUUUUAAUAAUAUUAAAAGCCCUGUAUUUUCAGGGCUUUAUUUUUAU
rnacentral:sRNA from 1 species